GGAAAUGUUUCGCAUUUUAUCUGUAUCACCUCACAGAGCCCCCAUUCAUUGUUCAGAUUUUGUUGCCAAAUCCCACAGGACUGUCAGCUGGCCCAGGUGCCGUGUCAUCCCAGUUCUUCCAUCAUCUCCUGGCAUGACUUUGUGGAACGCCGAUCAAGGCCACGUAGAAAAGGCAGAGAGGACCGUAUCAGAUAUGUGGACCCAUGUGGCUUGAGGAGCAGUCCAAUUUCUCUCAUAAUUAUUGCUUCCUGAGAAAUAACAGGGAAAGGCGCACUCCCCAGCGGAGACGAGAGGUCCUGGAGGAUGAGGAUGUCGGUAAACACGAAACGCACCAGUAGUGCUUGCGGCUGCCUCCACCGGGUAGAGCCAGGGAACGAGUAAAGCAAGUGGUUCCUCCAGAAGCAGCCCCCAGGCUCGGGGAGAUCACAGCGGGAAAGCAGCACCCCGGAGUCUUAUCCUUCCUCUGCACCUGCCAGCCUGGUUUCCUGCCUGCUCCCUCCCUCUCCCCAACUCACCUUCCCCCAGCUAACUAC